CCAUCUAGUCAGGACUCACGAUAAAGGGACUAAAUCACAUGUUAACUAUACCUUGAGGUUCUUUUCAGUUCUACUGGGUUGUCACUACAUAUUGCUAGGUGUCACUGAUGAAUUGUGGAGCUCACUAGGAUUGUUUAGAAUCGACAAUCAUUAAUGAGUUAGAGUAAAAUUGUUCCAAUCUAUUGAAAAAAAUUUUAAUGAUACUUUAAUAAAGAUCAUUAUAUAUCUCACUAUCAAAUAGAAUUGAAUCUAUGGGGUCACACAACAAAGGGAUUAGAUCUGGAA
rnacentral:lncRNA from 1 species